CUUUUUCGCUUCUUUCAACACCAAAUCAUUUGGGAAAUACGCCUGUAACGUUUUGAAAGUUUGGGAAAUAAUACCCAGAUAACACACACGUUCAAAAUCGGGACAUAAGACAUCUUUUCGACAUCUUUUAGACACUAUAUAUCUUAAAAUGUCGAAACUAAAAAAAUGUCCAGACAAAAUGUGAAAAUGUGAAGCCAAAAAUCUAGAGAUUUUUUGACCCUACAUAACGAAGGCCGUGUUCCAAAAUUCACUGCCAGCACUGAAAAGCUAUAGUGUACGUGACAUAAACUAUAGAGUUUCAGUACUGGCAGUGAAUUUUGAAACACAUCCGUAAAAUGUUUAUAAUCAAGCAGAUUUUGCAGCAUCGGUGCAAUUUAUACAAAACCAUUUGGACGAUAUGGAUCCGAAGAAGGGCGUUUCUUGGGCGACUGUUUGCUACAUGUUUGGAGAGGUCUAUAACAUAAUCUAUAACAUUACUUCAUUUUAUAUGUUCAUAUGUUUAUCCCACUUCAUAAAUGUUUCUCAAUGUAGGUUCAAUACGGUGGUAGGGUUACGGAUGAUUUCGACAAACGUUUAUUAACAACUUUCACACAUGUCUGGUUCUGCGACGUACUAUUACGACCAGGGUUUGAAUUUUAUUGAGGAUACAGAGUGCCACAAAUAAGAAAUCUUCAGGGAUACGUAGAUUAUAUUGACGGUUUAGAAGCUACCGACACCCCGGAAGUCUUUGGAUUACAUCCAAACGCCGACAUUACUUAUCAGAUCAACACGGCGAAAGGAAUAUUUGAUACGAUUCUCAAUGUACAGCCAAAAGAGGGUGGCAAAACUAGAGAGAGGCCGUUGUAUAUAAAUUAGCAAAUGAUAUGUUGUCUAAAUUACCCAAACAAUACAAUUCUUUCAAAGUGAAGGAAGCACUUCAAAGAAUGGGACCGUUACUGCCGAUGAACAUAUUUUUAAGGCAAGAAAUAGACCGUAUUUCGAGGGUUAUUAAAGAAGUACGAAGCACUCUAACGGAUUUGAAACUAUAGCUAUCGACGGUACUAUUGUGAUGAGCCAAGGUUUGCGAAAAUCGUUAGAUGCAAUGUAUGACGCACGCGUACCAGAAAAAUGGUUGAAAAUAUCGUAGGAGUCAGCGACUUUGGGCUUUUGGUACACAGAGCUUUUUUGGAAAGGGACUAUCAGUUCAGACAGUGGUGCGCUCAUGACCGUCCGAAAGUAUUUUGGAUGACUGGAUUUUUUAAUCCACAGGGAUUUUUAACAGCAAUGAGAGGUGAGAAAUCAUGCUAAUGAAAAAUUAACGAAUAUACUUACAUAUAUUUACAUAUAUUUAAAAAUUAUUCAAUUAAUCGAGAGAUUUUAAAAGAAGAUAAAAGUAGUUAUGCAAGACAGAAUAAUAACUAACAGCUAUAAGAAAUUUCGUGGUUCUUUUUUAAUCUUUCAACUAGAUUAAAAUACAAUAAUUUUAGGAAGUGACUAGAGCGCACAAGGGUUGGGCUUUAGAUUCCGCGGUCUUGCAAAAUGUAACCACACGCUUUAAUAAAGAGGACAUUAAAAGUCAACCACAAGAAGGAGUUUAUGUUCAUGGUUUGUUUCUGGAAGGUGCAUCGCUCGAUCGGAAAGCGGGGAAACUCGUUGAGAGUAGGCCGAAAGUUCUCUAUGAACAAAUGCCGGUUAUUUUCGCAAUAAAUACCACCGCCGGCAAAGAUCCGAAAUUAUACGAAUGUCCUAUAUAUAGAAAACCUCAGAGAACGGAUGUGAAAUAUAUAGACUCAAUUGAUUUCGAAACAGAUUAUAUAAUCCCCGACACUGGACUCUCCGAGGUGUAGCUUUAUUAUGUGAUAUUAAAUAAAUAAUUAAAUAACAAGUGAUAAUCAAAGAUUACUCAUAUUAGAUUUAGGAACAAGUUUUCCAAGUUUGCUCCUUUUUCGAAGAAAACAAUAAACAUAAUGUAGAAUUAUGAAUGUCGGAGCGAUUGAUCUACUGUUAGAUGAGAUCACGAGUAAAAGAUUGAAAGAGAGAGAAAGAGUGAGUGCCGAAACGAUUGAUCUAAUUGUGUGAAGCGGUGUGUGACUUAUUUAUGAUUGGUUUGUGAUUUUAGCAGCAUCGUGUAAAAAGCUAAGCAUUAUGUAAGAAGCAUCAUAUAAAAAGCUAAGCUGGCAAACGCAAUGUAUGAAAGCGAAUGUAAUACAUGAAAGUGAAUGCGGUGCAUGAAAGUAAAUGCGACGUGUGACAAAA